rnacentral:rRNA from 1 species
UACGUAGGGGGCAAGCGUUGUCCGGAAUCAUUGGGCGUAAAGCGCGUGUAGGCGGCUGGGUAAGUCCGCUCUGAAAGCCCGGGGCUCAACCCCGGGAGGCGGGCGGAUACUGUCGGGCUAGAGUCCGGAAGAGGCGAGUGGAAUUCCUGGUGUAGCGGUGAAAUGCGCAGAUAUCAGGAGGAACACCAAUGGCGAAGGCAGCUCGCUGGGGACGGUACUGACGCUGAGGCGCGAAAGCGUGGGGAGCAAACAGG